UACGGAUACAGGUAUCCUGCGUGUUGUUACGGAUACAGGUAUCCUGCGUGUUGUUACGGAUACAGGUAUCCUGCGUGUUGUUACGGAUACAGGUAUCCUGCGUGUUGUUACGGAUACAGGUAUCCUGCGUGUUGUUACGGAUACAGAUAUCCUGUGUGUUGUUACGGAUACAGGUAUCCUGAGUGUUGUUACGGAUACCGGUAUCCUGUGUGUGUAUUUUCUUUCCUUCUCCCCUAUUCACAGGUGUCGCCAGUCAGUCACCAGUCAGUCGCCAAUCAGAAGACACCUGCUCCUUUUCCCUUACCCAAUCACAUCCUCGUUCCCUUGUUUUAAAAACCCCAGUCAGUUGUUUUCUCAAUAGCUCAAUCUCUCUGUCACUCAAUCUCUCUGGCGAUCUCGCUUUUGUUUUUG
rnacentral:lncRNA from 1 species